CAGGAGGAGGUGGUGGCGGUGCUGAAGAAGUCUCUGGAAGGAGCAGACCUGCCGAAUCUGCUGUUUUAUGGGCCUCCAGGAACAGGAAAGACGUCCACCAUCCUCGCUGCAGCCAGAGAGCUUUAUGGGCCGGAUCUGUACCGCCAGCGAGUGCUAGAGCUGAAUGCAUCUGAUGAGCGCGGGAUUCAGGUGGUCCGAGAGAAG
rnacentral:misc_RNA from 1 species